UAAUACCGCAUAUUCUGUGAGCAGGGAAAGCAGGGGAUCGCAAGACCUUGCGCUGAUUGAGCGGCCGAUAUCAGAUUAGCUAGUUGGUGAGGUAAAGGCUCACCAAGGCGACGAUCUGUAGCGGGUCUGAGAGGAUGAUCCGCCACACUGGAACUGAGACACGGUCCAGACUCCGUACGGGAGGCAGCAGUGGGGAAUUUUGGACAAUGGGCGCAAGCCUGAUCCAGCCAUGCCGCGUGAGUGAAGAAGGCCUUCGGGUUGUAAAGCUCUUUCGGCCGGGAAGAAAUCGCACAGGUUAAUACCCUGUGUGGAUGACGGUACCGGAAUAAGAAGCACCGGCUAACUACGUG
rnacentral:rRNA from 1 species